UUGCACUUAAAUCAUAGGCCUCUUUACAUUUAUGUAGCAGGGCCUGAGCUAGGUGCAUAAAGUAAGGCAGUUUUGUUGGCAAAACUGUGAGGAUGGAUCCACUGGUAAAUGGCUCAAUGUGCUAUUUACCUACUAAUUCCAUCAUACAUUU
rnacentral:snoRNA from 1 species